AGCGGCGCACGGGUGAGUAACACGUGGGUAACCUGCCUCGAAGUGGGGAAUAACACCGGGAAACCGGUGCUAAUACCGCAUAUUCCGACGGGGUCUUCGGAUUUUGUCGGGAAAGGAGCAAUUCGCUUCGAGAGGGGCCCGCGGCUGAUUAGCUAGUUGGUGAGGUAAUGGCUCACCAAGGCAAUGAUCAGUAUCCGGUCUGAGAGGACGGUCGGACACACUGGAACUGAGACACGGUCCAGACUCCUACGGGAGGCAGCAGUGGGGAAUUUUUGGCAAUGGGGGAAACCCUGACCAAGCAACGCCGCGUGGAUGAUGAAGUAUUUCGGUACGUAAAAUCCUUUCGACGGGGACGAAACCGCAAGGUUGACGGUACCCGUAGAAGAAGCCCCGGCUAACUCCGUGCCAGCAGCCGCGGUAAUACGGGGGGGGCAAGCGUUGUUCGGAAUUACUGGGCGUAAAGGGCGCGUAGGUGGCCUGUCAAGUCGGGUGUGAAAACUCUGGGCUUAACCCAGAGACUGCAUUCGAUACUGACGGGCUAGAGUUCUGGAGGGGAAAGCGGAAUUCCUGGUGUAGCGGUGAAAUGCGUAGAUAUCAGGAGGAACACCGGUGGCGAAGGCGGCUUUCUGGACAGAAACUGACACUGAGGCGCGAAAGCUAGGGGAGCAAACAGGAUUAGAUACCCUGGUAGUCCUAGCCCU
rnacentral:rRNA from 1 species